CCCCAAAUAACCAGACUCUCUCCUUCAAGUUAAGGGGUGAGAAGGAAGCAGAGGUGAGGUGUGAUCACAUUAAUGAGAGUGUGGGCGAUUCUGAAGGGAGGAGG